AGAGAGGCACACUUUGUGAGGACUAACG
rnacentral:piRNA from 1 species